UGACUGGGGUGAAGUCGUAACAAGGUAGCCGUAGGGGAACCUGCGGCUGGAUCACCUCCUUAAUCGA
rnacentral:rRNA from 22 species